ACGCGUAGGAGUGUUUUAUCACAUAUAAAACACGACGCAUAGCAGAGUGUUUUAUAUGUGAUAAAACACUCCUACGCGUGCUUUAAA